AUGGAAAAGCAGACACAGGUGCUCACAAGGAGAAAGAUGGUUUUGGUAGCUCUGGAGUCAGGGCAGGACCUGGAGGUGACCUUGCUCUUAUACAUCUACUGCAUUCUCUACUUGUGUCUGUACAGAAAAACAACCAUGGAGACACUGGCCCCAAGCAUGAGUCCCACCCACAGGUUUUCAGAACGUGACAGGUUCACUACAUGUGGCAAUAUACCAAUUUUGUGUGUUUGUUGCAUACAGCAAAAAUCCAAAAUCCUGCAGACUCACCACCGACUUUUUCUUGUCUGGGAUCCUGUUGUCGCUUCCAUGGUCCCUGUAAACACUAUGUGAGCUGGAGAGAGGCAUCCAAGCCUGAGAUAUGGACGGGUCUGUGAUUCUGUGACCUCACCUCCCCUUGGACCUUCAACUAUCUUUUCACUCCAAGUGGCGAAGGGCAUGCAGGUGGGAGUAGCCAAAGAACUCUUCUGAGAACUGUUCGUCUAGAGUGAAAGGGAAAUAGAAUUGCUAUUUUCUUUCUCUCUGAAGAGAAUACUGGAGGUGCAGAUGGUGGUUUUUAUAGUUCUUGAUCCCAGGUGGAAGACGAUAUCCCACCGGAAGGGAGCAGGAAAUAAUGAGGUCUGACAUAUGAACGACAGUGAGCUACGGAGGCCCCAUUGCAAUCUUUUUUUCCCAGGAGGAAGCUUGCUUAGUUAUAUCCUAUUUGUGAAUUAGGAGCAGUGGUUUUCAGCCCAUGGGUCAUGACCCUCUGGGGGUUGAAUGACCCUUUCACAGGUG
rnacentral:lncRNA from 1 species